UUUUUUUCUACUCGUCGACUGUAAUUCUUGAAUUAAGAUUUCGUAUACCAAACUGCAUUUGGGUACUUUUAAUGUAUGGGCUCCCAACCCAACUAUAAUAUUCAUUUCGAUACAGUUUAGUCAAUUAUAAUGAAUUUAACCAAUCACAGCUCGCCGCGGUCAAGAGGACGAAACAAAACCAUAGCUCAAAUUAAUUAUUUAUUUUAGGUUGUAUUGUAGAAACAAUUGCUUCAUAAGUCAGAAACGCGCAUGUGACACCCUUAAUAUAGGAACAUCCAUAGACUACGAAAACCGCUUAGCGUUACUUGUUAUCUCCAUAGGCUACGGUGGCUAACAUCGAGAAAAAAAAAUGUUUAAAAAUUAAAUUUUGCAAGGAGCAAGUACCAGGGCCUCAUGAGUUACGAGAAGGUGUCAUUGACCAAGCCGCCGGGCCGCGGCCGGGGAGCGUACAAGUAUGAAGGUAUCGCGGCUGCUCGCGUAUCUUAGCUGUAUACUUUUGGCUUGUUUACCUAUAUGAUUCUACUAGUUUAAAGUAUGUCUUUCCCAUCACGGAACAAUGGUGUUCCGGACCUUUGGGAGGCGUGCGCGGAGCCGAAGCCAACACGUAGAGGCCCUUUUGACACUUUAAUGAAAUACGGUGACUCGCCCUCACAAGAUGGGCCCCCACAAAAAGCGACAUCUAGGAUGGCUCAAGGGCAACACCGGUGUGAGCGGCUCAGGGGUGUCGAGAGGUGUGCGCCGCUUUCUACCCAGUGGCUGUUAACAGCCACUGUGCCAACUCGCGUCUUAUGCAUAUUUCACUUCCACCCCUGGAGCUUAUAGCUCUAACGACUCCACUCUGGCCGGCCGGCUAAGGCAAGCCAGAGGCAGAGAAUCCUGUCCCACCCAACCUCCUUGCGGGUA